CGGCGGACGGGUGAGUAACACGUGGAUAACCUACCUAUAAGACUGGGAUAACUUCGGGAAACCGGAGCUAAUACCGGAUAAUAUAUUGAACCGCAUGGUUCAAUAGUGAAAGACGGUUUUGCUGUCACUUAUAGAUGGAUCCGCGCCGCAUUAGCUAGUUGGUAAGGUAACGGCUUACCAAGGCAACGAUACGUAGCCGACCUGAGAGGGUGAUCGGCCACACUGGAACUGAGACACGGUCCAG
rnacentral:rRNA from 1 species